rnacentral:rRNA from 1 species
GCGGUGGAGCAUGUGGUUUAAUUCGAUGAUACGCGAGGAACCUUACCUGGGCUCAAAUGUAUGUUGACGUAUUCUGAAAGGGAUACUUCUUCGGACAAUAUACAAGGUGCUGCAUGGUUGUCGUCAGCUCGUGCCGUGAGGUGUCGGGUUAAGUCCCAUAACGAGCGCAACCCCUAUCAUUAGUUGCCAUCAGGUCAAGCUGGGGACUCUAAUGAAACUGCCUACGCAAGUAGUGAGGAAGGUGGGGAUGACGUCAAAUCAGCACGGCCCUUACGUCCAGGGCUACACACGUGCUACAAUGGCCGGUACAAAGGGCAGCUACCUGGUGACAGGAUGCUAAUCUCAAAAGCCGGUCUCAGUUCGGAUCGGAGUCUGCAACCCGACUCCAUGAAGUUGGAAUCGCUAGUAAUCGUGGAUCAGCAUGCCACGGUGAAUACGUUCCCGGGCCUU